rnacentral:rRNA from 1 species
UGAGGAAUAUUGGUCAAUGGGCGAGAGCCUGAACCAGCCAAAUCGCGUGAAGGAAGACUGCCUUAUGGGUUGUAAACUUCUUUUAUACAGGAAUAAAAAACGGGGACGUGUCCCUUAUUGCAUGUACUGUAUGAAUAAGCAUCGGCUAACUCCGUGCCAGCAGCCGCGGUAAUACGGAGGAUGCGAGCGUUAUCCGGAUUUAUUGGGUUUAAAGGGUGCGCAGGCGGGCUUUUAAGUCAGCGGUGAAAUCUCGGGGCUUAACUCCGAAACUGCCGUUGAAACUGGGAGUCUUGAGUAUGGAUGAAGUAGGCGGAAUUCGUUGUGUAGCGGUGACAUGCUUAGAUAUAACGAGGAACUCCGAUUGCGUAGGCAGCUUACUAAGCCGUAACUGACGCUCAAGCACGAAGCGUGGGGAUCAAACAGAUUAGAUACCCUGGUAGUCCACGCCGUAAAACGUGAUUACUAGUUGUAUGCGAUAUACCGUAUGUGACUAAGCGAAAGCGAUAAGUAAUCCACCUGGGGGAGUACGCCGGCAACGGUGAAACUCAAAUGAAUUGAC